CCUACGGGGGGCAGCAGUGAGGAAUAUUGGUCAAUGGACGAGAGUCUGAACCAGCCAAGUAGCGUGAAGGAUGAAUGCCCUAUGGGUUGUAAACUUCUUUUAUAUGGGAAUAAAAUGUUCCACGUGUGGGAUUUUGUCUGUACCAUAUGAAUCCGGAUCGGCUAACUCCGUGCCAGCAGCCGCGGUAAUCCGGAGGAUCCGAGCGUUAUCCGGAUUUAUUGGGUUUAAAGGGAGCGUAGGUGGAUUGUUAAGUCAGUUGUGAAAGUUUGCGGCUCAACCGUAAAAUUGCAGUUGAAACUGGCAGGCUUGAGUACAGUAGAGGUGAGCGGAAUUCGUGGUGUAGCGGUGAAAUGCUUAGAUAUCACGAAGAACUCCGAUUGCGAAGGCAGCUCACUGGACUGCAACUGACACUGAGGCUCGAAAGUGUGGGUAUCAAACAGGAUUAGAUACCCGGGUAGUC
rnacentral:rRNA from 1 species